rnacentral:rRNA from 1 species
UCAGGCCUAACACAUGCAAGUCGAACGGCAGCACGGGUGCUUGCACCUGGUGGCGAGUGGCGAACGGGUGAGUAAUACAUCGGAACGUACCUUAUCGUGGGGGAUAACGCAGCGAAAGUUGCGCUAAUACCGCAUACGCCCUGAGGGGGAAAGCGGGGGACCGUAAGGCCUCGCGCGAUUAGAGCGGCCGAUGUCUGAUUAGCUUGUUGGUGAGGUAAAAGCUCACCAAGGCGAUGAUCAGUAGCUGGUCUGAGAGGACGAUCAGCCACACUGGGACUGAGACACGGCCCAGACUCCUACGGGAGGCAGCGGUGGGGAAUUUUGGACAAUGGGGGCAACCCUGAUCCAGCAAUGCCGCGUGAGUGAAGAAGGCCUUCGGGUUGCAAAGCUCUUUUGUCAGGGAAGAAACAGCAGCUCUAACACAGUUUGCGAAUGAC